UAGCCCUGGCUGUCUUGGAACUCGCUCUGUAAACCAGGCUGUCCUUGAACUCUCAGAGAUCCAGCUGUCUCUGUCUCCCAAGUGCUGGGAUUAACGGAGUGAGUCACCACUGUCUGGCUAGAUCCAGGCUCUUACUAACUUUCCCCAUGACGUAUGAUAGAGAACUGUGAGGCUGUUGCUAAUGGACAUGGAAGGACAAUGACUGUUUCCUCUUCUCCAUUUCUUCCCCCUCCCCUCCUGUGUGUAUUUCUGGUAGCUGCUUGUCAUAUACUCAUGUGACUUGCAUUUCAGUUCCUUUUCUGAAGAUAUAAAUCGUGCAAUGUGGAGGUGCACAGUUCAAGGACAACAAGCCAGUGGCACUGUAACACCAGGGUCCCAGCCCAUGGAACGGUGCCGCCUACAGUGGACUGGACUGCAGCUGCUGACUCGUGUUUGGUGUUCGCUCGUGGACUGGAAUGAACAAUGAAGAUUGGAAUCACCCCAAAGAACUACAUCUAAACAGCCUCAGCCUCUGGGUUCUGAGAUGGCAACUAUGAGCCAUCCUUCCCUUCCUUGAAGGAGUUCUCUUCCUUACACGCCACAGCCAGUCUCCUUCAGGUAAGCGCCUUUAAAGUUUGAGAAACUAAACUUCCUUUCUGUUGCUAUGGCAACCAGUUUAAACAAUACACAGUAUAAAGUACCAGGAGGCAUGUUGUCUUAUUUUGGUAAGUGAACCCACUUUCCAAAAUAUGGAUGGAGACAUUAAAAAAAGAUUCUACUCCUUCUCUAACAGAUGUUUCCUUCUUAUCUAUAAGAUUCUGUGUCUGUGGGAAAGCAAAUAGCCACCAUCCUUUGGCUAAAUGAGUUGGCUUGGGACUGAUUGGGUGACCCCACUCAGCAAAUGUUAGUGGAGGGAUCGAGUGAAUAAAUAAUUGUGGGAAGUAAUAAGGACCCAGUGAGUUAGGAUCAGAUGCCUGGGUAGGAGAGCCAUUUUUUCUUGAAGAACAUCGAAGAACAGAAGGUCAAUUCCUGGCUCAUAUGUGGGGUGUUAGCUGUGGUAGGUAUAUUUUUAACGUCCUGCUGUCUUGACAGUGAAUGACAAUUUGGUUUGGGGCUAAUUCUCUUUGUUCUCAGGAUAGGGUUGGAGGUGAAGACUAAUAAUGCAAACUCACCCCAGUGCCACCUUUGAAAGAAUGUUGAAAACAAAAGUGGGAAUCUGAAGGUGCACAGUGAUAUAUUUUUUCCCCCAAAGCAAAAUGAGAAAUAAUUUUGUAGUAUCUGAUGGCUUGCGCUGGUUUCAUCCCAACAGUGGGGAUGAUUACUGUGGGUGGUGGUGGAGAGAAUGUGGGAUUCAGAGCAGAGCCAUCUAGGUUAGAGUCCUGGUUCCUCUAUUUUAUAGCUGUGCCAUCUUAUGCAAAACCAUGAAUCUCCCUUUUUCAAGUGUACAGGCAAGGUGUGCUGACGACUCCAAUGACACUGAUAAUAGACUGCUACCCCCUCUGGGGGACUUGUGGUGGGGACUUGUGGUGGGGAGGCACACUCUUGCUAUAGACAGACUUGCCUGGGAUCACCAAACCCCUCUGUGUGGCUUACCAUUAAUUUUGCUUGUUUUUUUUUUUAUUUUUCUAUUUUUCUUGUAUCUCAGUGUGUGUGUGUGUGUGUGUGUGUGUGUGUGUGUGUACAUGUGAAGGUCAGAGGUCAACUUUGGGUGUCACUCUUCAGUGUUUUCCUCGAUUUUGACAGGGUCUCUCACUUGGUCUGGAACUUGUCAAUUUAGGCUAGCCAGCAAGGCCGAGGGAUCUGCCAGUUUCCAUGUUCCCAGAACUGGAAUGACAAUCGUGCUCUCCUUGCCUAGCCUUUUAUUUUAGUACGGCCUGUGGAGAGCAAAUUAGGUCCCCAUGCUUACAAGGCAAGAACUUCCUGAGCUGAGCUAUCUCCUCGGCCUCUGUUAAAUCAGUUUCAUCUCUCACUUGUAUUAUAAAAUGAGAUAAUCCUAUAAUAUGAUGUUUCUUAAAUUAUUUUAGCUGACAUACAGGAAAGCUUUUAAUUUUGACGAAUUCAUCUUAUACCAAUCCAUAAAUCCUUUAAUAAUUCAAAUAGUUUUAAAGGUGAUUUCCAAGGAAAAUAAUUGUGACAAUUAUUGAUAAUAGUUUUGUCUGGUUACCAUAUCCAUCCUUGUGUGUAUGUAUCUAUUAUCCAUGUAUCUAUAUAUAUAUAUCAUCUUUAUAUAAUAUCUAUAUAUGUAUAUAUGUAUCUACAUACAUAACUAUGUAUGAACUAUCUAUGUACCUAUGUAUGUAUCUAUAAGUAAGUACAUAUGUAUGUAUCUAUAUAUCUAUAUGUAUAAUUAUCUAUCUAUGUAUCAAUAUCUAUGUAUCUAUUACCUAUGUAUGUAUGUGUCUAUCUACUUAUCUAUCUACCUAUCUUAUCUUAUCUUAUCCUAUCUAUCUAUCUAUCUAUCUAUCUAUCUAUCUAUCUAUCUAUCUAUCUAUCUAUGAGAUAAGGUCUUUCUGUGCUGUAUAACCUGAGCUUCAUGUCUCGAUUCCUUGAUUCUCUUAUUUUAGCCUCCUGAGUAGCUGGGGUCGCAUAUGUGUUCCACCACAGCUGUCUAUGCAGUAUGUGUUCAGAAUAAUCUCAUUUUCUUUCCCUACUGCAUUGUUAGGACCUUCAAAAGAAGGCUCCAUGUCAGCAGUGACAGUGGUGUCUCUGCUUGUUCCCGAUUCUAAGGGGAGCAUCUUGGGUGUCUCACCUUUAUGUUGGUGUUGCUGUGUGCCUAGCAUAUAUUUAAAGUCACAUUAAGAAAGUUUCUUUUGAUUCUUAGAAAAAAAUAAGUUUGUAGUUUGAUUUCUUUAUUGUUGUCAGUAGAAAUGUCAGUUCUCAGAUAUUCAGACUGGGGCCCUUUCCAAUCCUCCUUGGACCCAUAAAACCAGGCCUUGGAGGCAGCGGGAAGUUGGGUUCAAUCGUAAGCAACCACAAGGCUUUUCUUGUGUAGAUUCUUCUGGGUUAGGCCGACUACAGGAACUUUAGUUGAAUUGAUUAAUUCAACCACCAGAAAAUAAAUGCUAAUUUUUGAACUUUCAAACUAAGUCCAAAUAUUAUUUUUUAAUGGUAUGAAAAAAAAAUCAAAGAAAAAGUCCUUUCCUUCUUCAAAGUGCCCUAGGAUAUUUGUUCAGAAGUGCCCAUACGAUAUGUUCUUGAAGACUGUUGAAAUGGAACAAAGCAAGAACCUCAAAUGUCUCACAAUUCAAUCUGCUUGCAGACAGAUGCCCAUUGACACACAGUCACUCAUAACAGGCAGGCAGAGACACUCGGGCUAUGGUGGCUGAAUUCUAGAAACAUCAGGGCAACUUUACAUCCUGUUGGAUUUGGAGUCCCUCAACGACUCAUCAUCCUUCCAACAUCCCAGGACUUAAGCAGGCUAUGAAACUCUGUGGACCUUACGAAAUGAAUCAAUGGGAGGGCAGUAUUUCUAAUUCGAAGGAGAAGGAUAUUGUACGGGCAUAUUUUCCAUCUGUAGUGACCAUGUCAUUGCAUUCAAGCAUGUGACAUUAGUUACUUUGCCUUUGAAGGUAUUUUCCUUUGGAAGAGUUGUGAAGAAGGCAAAACUGUCUAAUACUUGUUUUAGUUGGGGUUCUCUAGAGUAACAGAUCUUAGAGAAUGAAUCUCUAUCUGUGAAAGGGGCUUUAUUAGGAUUGCUCAUAGGCUGUGGUUCAGCUAAUCCAACAGUGGUUGGAUGUGAACGCAAAGUUCAAGAAUCCAGGAAUCGCAAAAUCCACGAGUCUGGAUGUCUCAGCUGGUCUUCUGUAUGUGCUGGAAUCCUUAAGGAGUAGCUCUAAUGCCAGUGAAGGAAUGGAUGUGCUAGCAAGGUAAGAACAAGCAGGCAGUGAGCAAAAGCUUGCUUCUUCCAGGCCUUUACACAGUCUCCCAGUGUUGUUGUAUAAAUAUAAAAAAUAAAAUGCUGUCUUUUAUCCCGCUCUAGAUCUGGCACUGCAGUGCCCCAUGGUAUCUGCUGGAUUUCUUUUUUUUUCCAGUUUUCUUUUUAUUAGAUAUAUUUCUUUACUUACAUUUCAAAUGUUAUUCCCUUUCCCAGUUUCCUGUCCAUAAGCUCCCAUCCCCUCCCC